CUCAGUCCUCACUCUUUUCACCUGAACGUUACCUAACCCUCCCUCCUCCACCUUUUCCUUUUCAUUUCAUUUCAACACCGACACACACACACACACACACACACACAGAGACGGCAACGCGUCAAUGGCCACCUCUGCCUCUUCCCUCUCUCUAUUCCUCCUCUCCCUCUCUCUCCUCUCCCUUACCGCUACCGCUAGACCCUGCAAAACCCUCUUUUUUUACACCACCACCACCUCCUAUUACCCCUCCACCACCACAACUGCCGCUUCCUUUCGUCAAAACCCUAACUUCGAAAUCCUCCCCAAAUUCCACUCCUAUUCCCCGAAAUUCUUGACUUUCUUCUUCACCACCGUCAAC
rnacentral:lncRNA from 1 species